ensembl:snRNA U4 U4 spliceosomal RNA
AGCUUUGCGCAGUGGCAGUAUCGUAGCCAAUGAGGUUUAUCCGAGGCGCAAUUAUUGCUAAUAGAGUUUGUCCAGGGUAUACAACUGGGGGGUGCUGGGUAGUAGGGCACAUGUCUUGUCAAUUUUCCUAGGUGGAACCA